UACGUAGGGUGCAAGCGUUGUCCGGAAUUAUUGGGCGUAAAGAGCUUGUAGGCGGUUUGUCGCGUCUGCUGUGAAAUUUCGGGGCUCAACCCCGAACUUGCAGUGGGUACGGGCAGACUAGAGUGUGGUAGGGGAGACUGGAAUUCCUGGUGUAGCGGUGAAAUGCGCAGAUAUCAGGAGGAACACCCAUGGCGAAGGCAGCUUCCUGGCCCAAUUCUGACGCUGAGGUGCGAAAGCGUGGGGAGCGAACGGG
rnacentral:rRNA from 1 species